ACGAGCACGCCGCGUGAGUGAGAGGUUUUCGGAUCGUAAAGCUCUGUUGUUAAGGAAGAACGAGUGUGAGAAUGGAAAGUUCAUACUGUGACGGUACUUAACCAGAAAGGGACGGCUAACUACGUGCCAGCAGCCGCGGUAAUACGUAGGUCCCGAGCGUUGUCCGGAUUUAUUGGGCGUAAAGCGAGCGCAGGCGGUUAGAAAAGUCUGAAGUGAAAGGCAGUGGCUCAACCAUUGUAGGCUUUGGAAACUGUUUAACUUGAGUGCAGAAGGGGAGAGUGGAAUUCCAUGUGUAGCGGUGAAAUGCGUAGAUAUAUGGAGGAACACCGGUGGCGAAAGCGGCUCUCUGGUCUGUAACUGACGCUGAGGCUCGAAAGCGUGGGGAGCGAACA
rnacentral:rRNA from 1 species